GGAGUCAAAAGUAUAGCUGAAAUGCAAUGGCAUGUUUAAUGAUUAAGGAGCUAUGACAGCUUCAUAAUUUGUGGCUAAUAAAACAUUUCUGAUCUUUGUAGUUGGAACCACAACAUCACUUCCAUGUGGAAAUGAUAAACAAGUUAGUAGAUAGCACUUCUCCUUUCCUGAUCAAAGAGCCAAGGAACAAACUAUCAAAUGUUAACACUGCUGGCUAUUGGGAAAGGUUUAACAGAGGCAUUUGCUGUUGGCUGCUGUCAGACUACCUGAAUGUUUGGUGAAGCCACUAUGCAAGGUGUAAUGGAAAGAUGUUGAACAAUGAAGUCUGCCAGGUAGAGGAGGUUUCCAGCACUGCGCAACCUCUCCAGAAGUGGAGGCCCCACUGUGUGGGCUGCUUGUCUUUCUCCCGCUGAGGGAGCUCAGUCCUUUCUCUUCAGGCUGCUCUUCAGCUCUUGAACAGGUCAAGUAUGACUCCGCAGACAGACAUGGUGCAAGGGCAGCUAAAAGGGCCACAUCAGUUCCCGAUGUCAUCUGACUUAGAGUGCCACGUUGGAAGCAUCUGAUGGCAGUAUGAAGUUGACCUCAAGGAGGACAAAGGACUUACUCUAGUGUGCAUAAAAGCUGAACGCUGCACCAGGUUUAGAGGUGAGCCUUUGUUGACUGAUGUUGAUCUCAGAAAAUUAUUUGCCCUCAACUUUUAUGGGGAAAAAAAUGAAAAAGUCCCACCCACGAGAGAGACAAGGCAACCCAUCCAUAGUAAAUGGUUAUGUUUGCAUCUGUGUUACUUUUUUCAGCAGGGUUAUCAGUACGGUUACACCUUGGAUUGAGUCCUUAGCCAGACUGUCUGUGGUAUG